CCUACGGGGGGCAGCAGUGGGGAAUAUUGCACAAUGGGGGAAACCCUGAUGCAGCGACGCCGCGUGAGUGAAGAAGUAUUUCGGUACGUAAAGCUCUAUCAGCAGGGAAGAAAAUGACGGUACCUGACCCAGAAUCCCCGGCUAACUACGUGCCAGCAGCCGCGGUAAUACGUAGGGGGCAAGCGUUAUCCGGAUUUACUGGGUGUAAAGGGGGCGUAGACGGCAGCGCAAGUCUGGAGUGAAAUGCCGGGGCCCAACCCCGGAACUGCUUUGGAAACUGUGCAGCUGGAGUGCAGGAGAGGUAAGCGGAAUUCGUAGUGUAGCGGUGAAAUGCGUAGAUAUUAGGAGGAACACCAGUGGCGAAGGCGGCUUACUGGACCGUAACUGACGUUGAGGCUCGAAAGCGUGGGGAGCAAACAGGAUUAGAUACCCGGGUAGUC
rnacentral:rRNA from 1 species